AAAGUAUUUUCAUGAAUAUUUUUGUAGUGUGAUGUUUGUUUUUUAAAAAUGCAUUUUACAAUUAUGUAUUUUAGCCAUUGCCCAUCCCACCGACCUCUAUUACAGCUGAGUUUCAAGCUAACCGUUUCUCUAAUCUCUUGAUGCAGGGAGGUGCGUUGUCUGUACGAUACAGAUGCAGCAGGUAGACAUUAGGCUGAAAAACUAAGCACUACUGUAUUGCUGAAAAACAGGGUCUGGAUCAGUAAGUACAGCAGGCAGUGUGUACAUGUGAUACAGGUUCAAAUGUGCACAUAUAUUAAGAGUGUGGAUAGAUUAGCUUGUGAAACAGGUACAUUCAACUCACUGUUUUUCUUUUCUCCCGCAGGACGGCGUUGAUUGUGCCUCCCCGCCUUGACUCCUGCAUUCAUUCCUUCAAUUCCAGAUGUUGUCCUCUUUAUGAACUAACGCCCUGCUUUAUCUCUCUGAUCACCAUUUCAUUUGUUAUUUCAGUUGACUCCUCUUUCACUUCUUCACACCGGGCUGCUGUGGGUUACUCCUCUCUCUGUGCAUGUGGGGAGGUGCCUUGACAAUCCCUACCUUCCUCCCCACCACCACCAUCACCACCAGUUGGGUCCCUGUCUGGCUGUCUGGGGAGUAGGCUCCACCCUUGCUGUCUUUAGCUGACAGGAUCAGCGGGGGUCUUGAUGCUCUAAGACUUGGACCGAGGACAGGGGCCUGUGCCAAAGGCGCUUUCUACUGAAUUCUACUGAAUCAUUCAACUUGUAAAAUUCCACUGAGGAUAUAACAAAUUCUCCUCCCUUGCUCUUGCCUCCCGAUGUAACGGCUGGGAGCAAUAAGGCGGACGCAAGUGUGGAGAGAAGCCAGAUUUAUUAUGGGCAAAUCCAGGGUCAUGGUCGAUACAGUCCAGGGUAAUAGAGCCAACAUGUAGAGAUCGAUGGGCAGACGUAACUCAGAGAACACACAAUUAUCCAAUACAAUCAAACAUCAAACAAUCAGCACAAAGACCAACAUACAUCCAUACAAAGACCUGCAACCACACAGGGGAAAACGCAGGGCUGAAAUACAACAGGGCUAACAAGGGAAAACAGGACACAGGUUGAAACACAGGUGGGAACAAUCAGGGGCAGAGUCACAGAACAAGGGGCCGGACUGGGAACCAAAACAAAAAGCACGUGGACUAGACCAAAACACAACAGGAACACAUGGACAGGACUGGGAGGGGCCAAUCGUGACACCUGAGUCUUUCUGACAGAACUCCCAAUCUCCACCACUAUGGACUUCAUGCACAAUGUUGUGUGACAGAUAUAAACCCCUUUCCAAACAACACAUCUGUUCACUUCAACCUGUCAACUGCUAUCUCACUUGUUACCAUCGGUGGUUCCAUAGUUGUUUAUGUAUACUUGGUUAUUUUAAUCAUUUUGUACAGAUUUUUCUUUGUUUUUUCAUGUAGUAUGUUAACGACCUUAGUAACUUCCGAUGUUCAAUUUUAUUAUUAGCCUGAUUAACAGAUUAAGUACAGCUCUUUUUCAAAGCUUUCUCAAACAGCAACGUUGGAGCUUUACUCCUCGCUUUUGCUAGACACUAACUCUCACAUCUGGCAACUGCUGCAAGCACUGUGUCUAAAAAAGAGCCAAGAUUAAUUUGAGUCAGGCUAAUGGUGGUGCUACAUGCAGUAACAGACAUGUAUUGGGGAUAUACAUUACGCUAGGUUGGGCAAAUAGUCUGUUAGCAAUGUGAUGCUCGCUUGCUUUUGGUCUUUUUAAUGGCAUUUUCAUGUAUGGUCAAAGUAAAUCUACUGUUGAACAAUUGAA